AUACAUGAAUAAAAAUUUGAUCUAAAAACAACUUUUCCAGAUCAAUAAAAUCAGAUUUAAUCAUUGAAAAUAUUUUUUAAAAGGAUCCAACAUCGAUAUAGGAUAACAUUUACAACAUAAGGGGUAAACCUUAUGCUACGACAACCUUGUAUCACAUCGAUGUAGAUCAUUAAUCUAAUUAAUUUUAGAUUUGAUUACAAACCAGAUCACAUCUUAUUUUCAUGCAUAUGAACCCAUGGCUCUGAUAAUACUAUUGAAUUUUAGAUAUUUUGUAUGCAGAUUUCAAAAUAAUUUUGAAUACAAGCAAUGGAAGACA
rnacentral:lncRNA from 1 species